CCUACGGGGGGCAGCAGUGAGGAAUAUUGGUCAAUGGACGUGAGUCUGAACCAGCCAAGUAGCGUGAAGGAUGACUGCCCUAUGGGUUGUAAACUUCUUUUAUAUGGGAAUAAAACGUUCCACGUGUGGGAUUUUGUAUGUACCAUAUGAAUAAGGAUCGGCUAACUCCGUGCCAGCAGCCGCGGUAAUACGGAGGAUCCGAGCGUUAUCCGGAUUUAUUGGGUUUAAAGGGAGCGUAGGUGGAUUGUUAAGUCAGUUGUGAAAGUUUGCGGCUCAACCGUAAAAUUGCAGUUGAAACUGGCAGUCUUGAGUACAGUAGAGGUGGGCGGAAUUCGUGGUGUAGCGGUGAAAUGCUUAGAUAUCACGAAGAACUCCGAUUGCGAAGGCAGUUCACUGGACUGCAACUGACACUGAGGCUCGAAAGUGUGGGUAUCAAACAGGAUUAGAUACCCCUGUAGUC
rnacentral:rRNA from 1 species